rnacentral:lncRNA from 1 species
CCAUGACCCUCAGCUCUUCAAAAGUGCAGCCCUCCUAGAAGGGACAGUCAGGUUGUUAGUGGGACCCUGACCUUCCGGGAUCUUCAUUGCUCAGGCUUUUGGGAUUCUGUAGAAACUCUCCCUGGCUGCAGGCUGGACUCCCUGUAGUUGCCGUGGGCUUCUCAGAGCCUGUGCUCAGCUGGGCCUCCCCUGAACCCUGCUCCCCCUCCUGUCUUCUGUUUUACAGAGGACCUACAACAUGCCAAGGCCACAAGAGGAUCGGCGGGGGUGAGUUGAUAAAGAUGUCCUUAACGGGCUUGUAGACCCAGGAUCAUUCCUGUGACUCGAAACCUGUGUGUUCAAAAAACAGAGAGAAGAAAAAGAGACAAACCUGCUAGUGACUUCAAAGUGCCCAUGAUUUUGCAACACAACACCUCUGUGAAGCUGCGCUGCACGGGGAGCCCAGGCCAGGAGGCCCAGCUCUGCUCUCUCCUGGGUCCGGUGCUCAGGCACCUGCACCUGCUCACACACCUGCACCUGCUCACCUGGCAGCCUGACACCAGAGGAGGUUGAUUCUGCCGUAUGGGGCCGGGAGGGUAAGCAGAGCGGGGUCAGGGUGUGUGCAGGCCACCUGGGCAGGAAGAGCAGCAGUGGGCACUGGAGAGGGAAGGAUGGGGCAGGGGACAUGGGAAGAGGAGGCUGGCCAUGAGGCUGCAGGGUCUGGCCAAGGCCAGUCUCAAAAUACCAGGCUGACUCUGAAGUCUAUUCUGGAGGCUGGAUUUCCACUGAGAUACUUCCUCCCGGUUGACCUAAGAGUUGAGUUGCCAGAUGUAGCCAAUACACAGAAGAUAGACUCGGUUGUGAUUGCAUUCAAACAAGGAAUGCUUUUUAAUAGGGGUAUAUCCUAUGCAAUAUUUGGGAUGUACUUAUACUAAAAAAUUGUUUGCUAUUUGGAAUUCAGACGUGACCACAGGUCCUAUAUUUUAUAUGGCAACUUUACUUGGGGGCCAGAGCAGAAGGAGAGGUGGUCAGGAUGAGAGAGGAUCAGCUCCCCCCCACUGAACCUGAGGGGCUUUGCUGCUAUCAGCUUUAAAUCUGGGGAAAUUCAUGAAGAUUCCAUUUGGAAACAGGUACCUGACUUUAAUGAUGAUAUUCAAAUGCUCAUAAAACCAUUGUGUAAGUUAUGUCUAAGAUUCCCUUCAGGCAUGUGUCUGAAGGGGACAGUAGACAUUUUCUAUAAAGGGCCAGAUCUAAAUAUUUUAAUAUUUAAUUGUUAAGACUUAAUUACAAUAUUUACUACGGACUGUAAAUGUUUUAGGCCUUGUGGAUCAGGCUGGCUGUGUUGAAACUGCUCAGCUCUACUGUUGUAAUAUAAAAGCAGCCUUAGACAUAGGUGCAUAAAUGAAUGUGGUUGUGUUCCAAUAAAACUUUAUUUAAAAAUCAGACUGUGGGCCAGAUGUGGUCUUGGGCUAUAGCUUCCUGACCUCUGGCCAAGACAGUUGGGCACUCUCAGUGCUGGCUGAGAGAAGCAUAUUCUUCCCCCAAUGUUCUGGACACAGAGACAUCUUCCCUAAGGAACUGAAUGUUUAAUUGGGGACCUCAGCAUUUCUCUCUCUCUGCCACCAAUUUCUGGGGUGGCCAUGUGACAGAUUGCCCUUGUCUUCCUGGGUCUCAGAGGCCUCACUUCUAGGAUGAAAUAGUUGGAGCCUCAGGAUCUUCCCCCAAAUCAGAUUUGAUCAUCCUGCCCUACCAAGGAGCAUCUGUCCUGCCACAGUCUACCUGGGCACAAUUCAGGAGGCACUUGUCAAAAGAAACAAACUUUAUUUUUAGAACACACACACACACACACACACACACACACACACACACACGGCACCACACAGCUCUUCAGGAAUUCCCUCAGAGCCCAACUGCCACCACCUGCUUCCCACAAGCCUCUCAACCUCCCCCACUCCUCCUGCUCUUGAGGCUGAUUGGCUGGGUCGUGUGGGCGGAGCCAAAAAAGUCCCCCAAUGAGCAGCUCUGUGGUCUGAAAGUGCGGGGAAACAGCUCAAUGAGCAUCACCGCAGAGGAGCCAAUCAGUUGGCAGCUAGAAGUUUGCUGGGACAGCUGUGAGCCAAUCAUCAGCUGGCAGCUGGAAGUUUGCUGGCAGCUGGAAGUUUGCUGGGCCUGCCCUACCAAGGAGCAUCUGUCCCCAGGCAGUAGUUGCUCUCUCUCCUUCCUGGACCUCCCCUCUGCCUGGGCAAAGGGUUGCAAGAUAAAGACACUUUUGUUCAUUCCAUUCAUUUCAGGGCAAUGGGGACUUUGUUUAUUUUUGGUUUUUGAUUUUCCAGGACUCCAGAGUCUCUGAGAACCCUCUGCCCUUACUGCUUCCUGCGCCACAGACACUGGACAUGUCACCCUGGAGACAGUGGCUCUGCGUCAGCCUCCUGCCAAUGAACAAUUGCAAGCUCUGCGAGAGGCCCGGGCCUCCCACCAGGAGCUGAGCCAGGACCAGGAAUGUCUUCCACACCCACCAACGGCUCCUCCAUGGCUCCAGUCUCGGUGAAGCAGCAAAAGACAUGGAUUUUCCAGGACCCAGGCCAGAGGCCCCCCCAAGGCGUCAGAGGGUGGGUGUGGCAGUGAGAUCCUGGCUUCCUCUCCUGUAGCACCUCUCCUCUGCUGGACGACUGACAGCUCUCUGGUAGCAGCAGAGAGCAGCACAAGGACACGGAGGGCAAGAGAUCAGGGAUGCUUCCUGGAGCCUCUCUGCCCACUGAUGGGAGAGGAUGAGCCUGGUGAGAGGCCCCCAGGGGCCACAGAGGCAGGAUGGGCCAUCUCAGUGCAUGGAUUUCCAGUGUGAGGCUGGACCAAGUGGCUUUCAUGGGCCUGCUGGUCUUGUCUUUGCGGGGGGGACCUCUUGUAAUGAUGUGGUUCCCUCUGGAGGGAAAUGGAGCUGAGGGUAGCUGAGGAUUUGGCAGAAGGAAGGGGGGAGGGGGGAAGGCAGAGCUUGAUUGACAGCCUCCAAGACGGAAAAUGAAAAGAAAAGGGCCACCUGUGGUAAGAAAGACCUCAGGUUACUUGUUACUGCAGCAUAGCAUUACCUAUCCUGCCUAAUACACACUCAGCCCAGGGACGGCCUCAAACUAGGCACCCUUCAGGGCUGACAGUUGAAUUAGGUAAUGCUGUUCCAAUAGGUCAGGGUGAGAUACCUCAGUCCAGCUUCUCUGGACUCCAUCCUGCUUCAUCCAUAAGAUGGUUGCAGCUGCUGGUGCCUGCUUUGGUCUGGCUGGUGCACACUGGUUGGCAAAGGGCCUGGCCCCCAGGAAACGCCCACUCUCAGGGAUGUCGCUGGCUGAGUACUCCUGAAGUCAGAAGCUACUCCAUGGAGCCUUUCCUAAUCUCAUUUAAACCUCGUGGCAACCCUCCAUGGCGUGACUUCCUUUAAAACGGAGAAGAGAGGUUAAACAGGUUUUAGAAUCUGCAAGCCCAGGUCUGUCUGGCCCCAAACAUCCCCCCUCCGCUCCUCCUCCUCUUCUUCCCACACCUUCCCCAGCUCCACGGGGCCCUUCUCGCCUCUGGCAUCUCAGAGCCUGUCCACCCAUCAGGAUGUGGUCCUUCCAGGGACUCUCACUCGUCCCUGGAUGGCAGGGGUCUGUGGCACUGUCUGCUCCACAGCUUCCCACCCCAGAUUCACUGUCUCCCCAAACCCCCAUUUUCUGAUGGUUUUGAAGGCACCAUGAUUCAGAGACAAGAGACCUGGGUACUGACCCAGACAGAUGCGGAGUCAAAUCCCAGCCCAGGGACAGCCAGGCUCCAUCGUCACCAGCAGCUCAUCACUUAGCUGCUAGCUCUGUCUCUUGGGACAAUUGCACCCACCAAGCCCACCAGGCUGGAAUGGGAAAGACAUCAGCAUGGCCAUUACUGGAACUGGAAGUCCCCUGAGGACAAGGGGCAGGGGCUGAGUCAUUACCGCUUACCUCCCCGGGCCUGGGGUGGCAGGCACUGGGCCAAAUGUUUUCACAUCUCCUUCUUCCAGGCUCCUUGUGGGACUCUUGUCCUGUCCCACGUGGCUCAGUGGGACCUCAUGACUUGUUCUGCACAGUGUAUCAUCAGGGCAGAAGUGAUGCCUGUCACUUCCUCUUGAUCAUCUUUAGUGGCUGGUGCAAAACCACCAGGGUUUUCCUCUCCCCUGGCACAACAGCUGCUCUAUCCCCCAGAUUCUGUGGGUGGCCAUGAUGAAUAGAGCCAAACCCACCCAACCUACAGUGGACAGGUAGGAUCAGCAAAAAUCAAUAUCUGGGUUUUUUAAGCCACUGUGAUUUGGAGGUUACUUGUUACUGCAGCAUAGCGUUACCUAUCCUGCCUAAUACACACUCAGCCCAGGGAGGGCCUCAAACUAGGCACCCUUUAGGGCUGACUGUUGAAUUAGGUGAUGCUGCUCCAAUAGGUCAGGAUGAGAGACGUCAGGGCCUGAAGACCCUGGUGCAGCCAUGAGGAGGACAGGGCUGCAAUGUGGGAGUCUCCCUGCUCACUUCAGAGACCGUCUUGGUGAAUACAGCUCUACAGAACACAAAGAGCAGGGAGUCGGCAAGUCAAGUCAUGCCCUAGAGCUACAGAGGCCAUCAUCCAGGUAAGAACAGCCACAGAAGCCACCCCGUACAGGCAUUCAGCCCACCUGCCUUCAAAACAGCCUGAAGAUGACUCGGGCUCUGAGUGUGGACUCUGGCCACCAGAAACCAAGACAAGUUUGUUCACGCUACUCCACCCUCAGCCGCCCAUGAAAUGCAGACCUAGAGAACUGCCUGGCUGAAGGGCUCAGAACAAGGGCUCUGGAGUCGGUUCCCUAGGCCCCAGCACUGCUUGGCUGUGGGACCUCAGUCAAUUCCUCUACCUCUCUGAGCUAAAUCAUCUUCACUUGUAAAAUGAAGAUAAUUAAGCUUGUCUUUCAGGUUUUUAGGCAGAUUAUGUGAGAAAAUGUGCUGGCCUCACAUCCAACCCUUUAUAAACAUCAUGGGAUUUAAUUAUCUCUAUUUUAUCAGAGAAGAUAAUAUUAGAGUCACAGGUGAACAGAAGCCAUUUCCUGAGCCCAGGGAGGCCAGGGCAGAGGAGACAAGAGCCCAGCUCUUUAAGUAUUUAUUUUAUUUAUUUUUACACAUGAGAAUGACUUCUCAAGUACAGAGAAAAAUAAAAAGUCGUCCAGAAGAGAGGGACAAUGGCGAUAUGUGCAGCUGCUAAGGGCACAGACUCUGGAGGAUGGACCAGGCCAGGGUUCAAAGGCUCUGCACUUAAAGACACAUGAAACAGUGGGCAAACCCUCCGCGCCUCAGUUUCCCCACCUGGGAAAUAGGGACACUGUCAGAGCCUUGACCAGGGGCCUGCUGUGUGACACUGGCCCCGGCUCUCGGCAAGAUCACGACAGACAGCAGUUGGAAACCCGCGGGUAUCAGCUCUGACCCGGGGUUGCCGUGAGCCUGGAGGCUGCCCGUGAGGCUGGGAAGGACACAGCACCGUCUCGGCCAGGGAAGGCUCUAGAUCUGGGAAGGGAAGUAUCAGUGGGUCUCAGCCAGGGCCCAUCCGCCGUUGUCUCUCUGGCUGCCACAGGUGAGACACACACGUGGGUUCCAUGGGGCGCCACAAGGAUGAGCUAGAAGGAGAGAGAAGGAGUUAGAAAGAGAGAGAAGGGCUGACGGGAGCCAGGUUUCAGCCAGACCCUGGGGGCAACUUCGGAAGCCCCUUGUCUCUUAUAAAAGCUGUUCAUGCCCCUGAGUCCCCAGAAGGUGGAAACUUUCUCUCGGCCAGCCCUGUGUCCCCUGGAUUUUGUGGUGAGCAGAGGGAGAACAGAGACCCCAGGCCCCCGGUGCAGCCCCCCACUCCUGCGGUCACCUUCCGCCCCACUCACACCUCCUCUCUUGUCCCCUGUCCCCCCAUACAGCCCUCUCUCCUUUCCAGCGCCUGUGGCCUGCUGUCACCAGCUCUCCAGGAACCCGCCCAGGGAGCCCCACCUCCCCGUCCACCUCCCACCCCUGGACGGCUCCUUGAAUGCUCACUGUGAGAUUGCUGACCCCCACCCCAGGGGCUCAGAGCAAAGCUUUGCCACUUCCUGGCUGUGCCUGCUUAGGUAAGUGACUCAGCCCCCAAGUCCCCACCUCACAGGACUGCUACAGAGCCAGUGACAACCCUGAGGUCCACCCUAGGAGGAGACCUGGCCAGACUCCGGGGCCUGAGGAGCAGACGUGAGGCCGAUCUGUAUCAGCAACAGAGAGGGUUGGUUAUUCCAGAAAGCAUGCAGGGGAGGAGAAGAGAAAUGACAGCCUCCUGCCCAAUUUCCUCAGCAGCGUUAAUGGGAGGCAGGCAUCUCGGUUGCAGCCGUGGGGAUCGAUGGGGCAGGCCGGCCUCUGCCUCUCAGGGUGACACGCGCUACAUACACAAUGGCUCGAGCCUGCGUGUGGGGUAUAGGGUUAAAGGUGUCCAUGAAGCUCUGCUCCACAUGGUUGGCCUCUAGCUGUGCAGGGGCAUCCGUGGCCUGAAAGAAAGAGUGUGCUCAGCUUGGCGGACCCCUGGCCCCAUUGCUAGGGAGGGCUUUGGGUCAUGCUCCGCUGCCAAGGUGGGCAGGGGCAGCCAGGGGAGGGAACAGCAGUGAAUCGUGAACAAAACCCCUGCCCCUGGAGUCUCACAGCAGAGCAGCUUCUUUACGCAUUUGGACUCCAGACGGCGUAUCCUUUGAGGUCAGAUUUGGGUCUGCUUCCCUGGGAGACAGCCUUGUGUGUGGCACAUAGUAGGUACCUGUUUGCUUAACAACUGAAAUCCUGCAGCUCCUGUUUGCAUGGCACCUCACACUCCUGGCACAGUCAGACCGUGAACAUCAGGAAGGGACUACUAAGGCUCAGAGAAGGGAAGCAACUUUUGCAAAGCUACACAGCACAGUCUGCCCAGCAAGGCCUAGAAUGGGGGCACUGGCUCAGUGCAGGCGUCUCCUCCUCCAGCUCCUGCUCACAUUCACUGAGCGUGUUCAGGGCUGCGGAACAGCGAUUUUAUUAGAGUUCAAAGACCAUUUAUUUUCUCCUAAAAAUAACUGCAAAAUAAAUAACUGAGAAGAUCCCCAAAUGUUUAUAAAUGUAUUAAAAUCAUGUUAUCAGCAUAUAAAAUGCAGCAGUGUAAAU